rnacentral:rRNA from 1 species
GUGAGGAAUAUUGGUCAAUGGGCGGGAGCCUGAACCAGCCAAGUCGCGUGAAGGAAGAAGGAUCUAUGGUUCGUAAACUUCUUUUGCAGGGGAAUAAAGUGCAGGACGUGUCCUGUUUUGUAUGUACCCUGAGAAUAAGGAUCGGCUAACUCCGUGCCAGCAGCCGCGGUAAUACGGAGGAUCCGAGCGUUAUCCGGAUUUAUUGGGUUUAAAGGGUGCGUAGGUGGUUUGAUAAGUCAGCGGUGAAAGUUUGCAGCUUAACUGUAAAAAUGCCGUUGAAACUGUCGGACUUGAGUGUAAAUGAUGUAGGCGGAAUGCGUGGUGUAGCGGUGAAAUGCAUAGAUAUCACGCAGAACUCCGAUUGCGAAGGCAGCUUACUAAGCUACAACUGACACUGAAGCACGAAAGCGUGGGGAUCAAACAGGAUUAGAAACCCUGGUAGUCC